AUGCCCUGGAGGAGGGCACGGCAACCCCUCUCCAGCAUUCUUGCCUGGAGAAUCCCCAUGGACAGAGGAGUCUGGUGGGCUACACUCCACAGGUCGCGAAGAGUCGACAAGACAGCACAGCGCAGCACAGAGAUGUCAAGUGCUUUCACCUCUCCCGACCUUUGCCCAUGCUUAUUCCUUCUGCCUAAAGUCCCAGCUCUAUCAAGUCUCCCCGUUAGCCCUCCCCUCUUUUCUGCUUCCUGUGAGCCUUGUACACCACUCCUUCACUUUUAUCAAUUAUUUCCUAGCGCUUGUCUGUUGGCCUGUCGGCCCUGGGAACUCCUUGACAGCCACCAAGCGGCCCUGCGGGUAGACUCCAGAACAGGGCCUGUCACAUUGGCAGCGCCAGGAAAUGCUUGUGAACGGAUGAAUGCUCCUGCGGGUGAGGGCCCCUGUGCACAAACAGAUCCGAGCAGAGGGGCCGAGGCCUGGCCUCCGUCGCUCCUACACUGGGGAAGGCUUGGAGGUUGCUCUAAGGCUGGCUGGCCGGACCUCCCUGAGGGACCUUCGGGAGCCUCAACGCGGGCGGGCAGGCGGGGGCAGGGCGUGCGCGCGGACACACCCCCCGCAGUGUCCCCGGCGCCCGGCAGGGGGCGCUGCUCCGUCGGCCCACGCCCCGCCGCGCGCCGGGCCGGCUCCCUCGCGCAGGCGCGGUGCCGCGGGUGGAGGAUCCGGGCCGCGCUUCCUCUCGCCAGGCCUGCGAGCUUCCUCCCAGCGGAGCCCAGGGCCAGCCGAGCUUGGCCGCUGCCGCCGUCGCCGCCGCCGCGACCGCCGCCGCCCUCCCGGUCUCGCCCCACCCCGCACCCCGCGCGGAGGUCUUGCUGGGGUGGGGUCCGAGCGGGGCGGUCUCCCGGCCGCGCCGCCGUCGGGGCCACCCCCCCGGCCAGCGGUCCCUCCCGCCCCAGCCAGCCUGUGGCCGCCGGAGCCUCCGGGGCGUGGAACGCGGGGACCUUCUGCGGCGCCCCGAACCAGCGUCCGGGGCCGCCCCGGGCAGCCGGCGCGACGUCCCCGCAUCGAGCCUCGGUGGCGGCGUUCGGAAGCGGAACUCUGCCGGGGCUGCGCCGGCUACAUUGUUUCCUCCCCCCCGACUCCCUCCCGCCCCCUCUCCCCCGCCUUUCUUCCCUCCCCGACCCGGGCCGCGCGGCCAUCCCCCUGCCUCUGUCUGGCCGUCCCUCCUCCCCCUCCUCUCGCACCCAGACCUCUUUGUACCUCACCACCCGGGGACCCCUGCGCCCCUCCCCUCCCCCCUGGCCGCAUGGACCGUCCGGCAGGCCGCUGAUGCUGCCCGCAGCGAGGUGGCCCGGACCGCAGUGCCCCGAGAGAGCUCUCAUGGUACCAAGUGACAGGUCGGCCUUCCUGUGACACGGGGACGCCAGAUCUUCUAGGAAGAUGUCAGCAAUUCAGGCUGCCUGGCCAUCCGGUACAGAAUGUAUUGCCAAGUACAACUUUCACGGCACUGCUGAGCAAGACCUUCCCUUCUGCAAAGGAGAUGUGCUCACCAUUGUGGCUGUCACCAAGGACCCCAAUUGGUACAAAGCCAAGAACAAGGUGGGCCGUGAGGGCAUCAUCCCAGCCAACUAUGUCCAGAAGCGGGAGGGUGUGAAGGCAGGCACCAAGCUCAGCCUCAUGCCCUGGUUCCAUGGCAAGAUCACGCGGGAACAGGCAGAGCGGCUCCUGUGCCCACCAGAGACAGGCCUGUUCCUGGUGCGGGAGAGCACCAACUACCCCGGGGACUACACGCUGUGCGUGAGCUGUGAUGGCAAGGUGGAGCAUUACCGCAUCAUGUACCACGCCAGCAAGCUCAGCAUCGAUGAAGAGGUGUACUUUGAGAACCUCAUGCAGCUGGUGGAGCACUACACCUCAGAUGCAGAUGGCCUCUGUACUCGCCUCAUCAAGCCAAAGGUCAUGGAGGGCACCGUGGCCGCCCAGGAUGAGUUCUUCCGCAGUGGCUGGGCGCUGAACAUGAAGGACCUGAAGCUGCUGCAGACCAUAGGGAAGGGGGAGUUUGGAGACGUGAUGCUGGGUGACUACCGAGGGAACAAAGUCGCUGUCAAGUGCAUUAAGAACGAUGCCACUGCACAGGCCUUCCUGGCUGAAGCCUCCGUCAUGACGCAACUCCGGCAUAGCAACCUGGUACAGCUUCUGGGCGUGAUCGUAGAGGAGAAGAGUGGGCUGUACAUCGUUACCGAGUACAUGGCCAAGGGGAGUCUAGUGGACUACCUGCGGUCUCGGGGUCGGUCGGUGCUUGGCGGAGACUGUCUCCUCAAGUUCUCACUAGACGUCUGUGAGGCCAUGGAAUACCUGGAGGGCAACAACUUCGUGCAUCGGGAUCUGGCUGCCCGCAACGUGCUGGUGUCUGAGGACAAUGUGGCCAAGGUCAGCGACUUCGGCCUCACCAAGGAGGCCUCCAGCACCCAGGACACGGGCAAGCUGCCGGUCAAGUGGACAGCCCCCGAGGCCCUAAGAGAGAAGAAAUUCUCCACCAAGUCUGAUGUGUGGAGUUUCGGGAUCCUUCUCUGGGAAAUCUACUCUUUCGGGCGAGUGCCUUAUCCAAGAAUUCCCCUGAAGGACGUCGUCCCGCGGGUGGAGAAGGGCUACAAGAUGGAUGCCCCCGACGGCUGCCCACCUGCAGUCUACGAGGUCAUGAAGAACUGCUGGCACCUGGAUGCCGCCACGCGGCCCUCCUUCCUGCAGCUCCGCGAGCAGCUCGAGCGCAUCAAGACCCACGAGCUGCACCUGUGACUGCGGCCUCGCCCGGGCCGAGGGCCUGAGGGCCUGCGGGCCUGCAGGGACUGAGCCGGAGAGACUGCGGACCUCGCACCCCCGCUCACUGGGCCCAAACCUGAACUGAGCCCAGCAGGAGGCCGCUGGGCCUCUUUCCUGUCCCAGCCCGUGCGCCCUCUGGCACCCGGAGACCCCGCCUAGGCCUGGCACCUUCUUUCAUGGACCCACCUGUGGGGCUUUGGGAGCCCUGCCCUCGGGCCCGGAUGGGAGGAGGCUGAAGAGCCGGGGGAUAGACGCCCUACCGUGGUCAGGCUCCCCCUGGCCUCCCAUCUCUCGCCUUCUUAGAGUUUUAUUCCUUUUCUUUUUUUGAGAUUUUUUUUUUCCGUGUGUUUAUUUUUUAUUAUUUUUCAAGAUAAGGAGAAAGAAAGUACCCAGCAAAUGGGCAUUUUACAAGAAGUACGAAUCUUAUUUUCCUGUCCUGCCCACGAGGGUUGGGGAGACCAGGCCCCUCUCUAGGGCCCCAUCGCCCCGGCCCUGUUCCCCCCGCCGUGUCCCGUGUCCGUGUCGCCUCGGUCGCCCCGUGUCUGCGCUUGACCAUGUUGCAGUGUUUGCAUGCGCCCGAGGCAGACGUCUGUCAGGGGCUUGGAGUCCGUGUGCCGCUGCCGCCCACCCACCUGCCUUGUGAGAUGGAAUCGUAAUAAACCACUCCAUGAGGACCCCGCU
rnacentral:lncRNA from 1 species